UCUCCGAGUCUCGACCUUUUUUUCGAUAAGAUUUACAUUACGGUCUAGACUAUAAGUACUUGGGAAAGCCCCAACAGUUUCCAUCUGUUUUGGGUUUUUAUAAUAUCUUUUCAUACUUAUUUUAAUUCUACAAUUCUAUUUCUUAUUUACAAAUAUUUUACUUAAUUCUAUUGUUCGAACUUUCAUAAAAAAAAUAUUAUCAAACAAAUACCUUUUACUAAGAGUAUUUUCUAUUUUAAUAUUUCUAUUUCUAUUUUAAUAUUUUCUAUUUCUAUUUUCUCUCAUUGACCAUAAACUUUUAUAUACCUUUUACUUUAAGCCUAAUCUUAUUGUAGUUGUUUAAAUUAUCGGGUUUUUCCCGCGUCGGGUUUACAAUUUUAUUUUUAAGUAUGAGGGCGCUGGGAAUAACCCAGUCGUCUUAAAGGUAGUCGCGAGUACGCGAAUACGCAACAAUAUAUACUGAAGUAUAUUGAGAAUAAAUGAGAAGUGUUGCCACAUCAACAACUAUCGAAUUUUCCGCAAAGUGGCCUAAGAAAUCUGUAGGAUCUAAAAAACGGGGGUACUAUAGUUUAUGCUAUUUUUAUUUCCUUUUUAAAAAUAAAUUAUUGCAAAAUGGUCAAUAAUUUCGAUUAUUAUUAUUAAAAUAACUAAUAAGUAAUAGUUUUUAUUUUAAAACUUAUUAGCUAGAAUAGUAAAUUUGUUUUAAAAAUAAAAUUCAUAACCCUUAAAAGUGCAUAUGUAAACGGUAUAUAGAGGCACGGUUUCUCGGGCGCACACGCAAGUUUGAAUGUGUGCUUGGCGCGAGUUACAGCCAUCUGAAGUGCAGCCACUUAUCGGUUUUCGAAAAUACAUUUUUCAAAAUUGUUGCAGUUAUAACUCGAAGACAAAUCAUCCGAUUGAUUUGAUUCAAAUUGCAGAUUUUUUUAUAUAUGUUUCUACGUACCAUGAAACUUCAGAUUUCCGAUCGAAUCAAAAAUGUAAUUUUGGCAAGCCAAAUAUGAUUAAUAGUCUACUAGGAUUGAACGAGUCCAAAGGAGAUUCUUAAAGUUUCUUAUUUGGAAGAAGACUGGACAGUACCCACCGCGUGGUGUUACUGAUCUAGCGCUCUGUACGGAAUGUAGUUAUCCAACUCUUGAGGAAAGGCGCAUCUGCAACGAAUUUGCCUUUGCCACCAAACUCUUCAAUAACCUGGUAGACUGUCCUCAGCUGCUCUUAAUGUUCAGAUUUAAAGUACCAUUUCCUGGGCUAAGAAAUCAUGCGCCAAUGCAUAUGCCUUCGGCGACGACCAACCUGGCACAGUCGACACCAUUGUAUCGAAUGUCUAAGACUGUGAACCGCUUCUGUGCAAUGGAGGAAUCCCUUGAUCCCCUGGACUGCCCUACGGGAUAUGUGACCGCAUCAUUAGCUAACUUAAUUGCAAAAUGGCGUUAAGUCAUGAACACUUGGGCUCAAAUCAAAUCUUUCCUUUUCUUUUUCUUUUUUACAAAUCUGUUAUAUUUUAUUUUUGUUAUUUUUCAUCUUUAUGCUCACCUACUCGAGUAACUGUGAGUGGAUCGAUGUAAUCCGAAUAUAUUAUUUAAUUUUUUUUGGUUAUCAUUGUUAGGUAAAAAAAUAAUUUUAAGAAUAACUAACUUGUAAAAAUUGUUAACCCUGUUGAUGGCUACGGCUGUUGGGUUCGUUUGUUUAUAAAUAAAUAAAUAAAUAAAUAAAUAAAUAAA